rnacentral:rRNA from 1 species
UACGAAGGGGGCUAGCGUUGUUCGGAAUUACUGGGCGUAAAGGGCUCGUAGGUGGCCAACUAAGUCAGACGUGAAAUCCCUCGGCUUAACCGGGGAACUGCGUCUGAUACUGGAUGGCUAGAGUUUGGGAGAGGGAUGCGGAAUUCCAGGUGUAGCGGUGAAAUGCGCAGAUAUCGGGAGGAACACCAAUGGCGAAGGCAGCUCGCUGGGACGGUACUGACGCUGAGACGCGAAAGCGUGGGGAGCAAACAGG